AACGAACGCUGGCGGCAGGCCUAACACAUGCAAGUCGAGCGAGGACUUCGGUUCUAGCGGCGGACGGGUGAGUAACGCGUGGGAAUGUGCCCUUCUCUACGGAAUAGCCCUGGUAAACUGGGAGUAAUACCGUAUAGGCCCUUUUGGGGAAAGAUUUAUCGGAGCAGGAUCAGCCCGCGUUGGAUUAGGUAGUUGGUGGGGUAAUGGCCUACCAAGCCGACGAUCCAUAGCUGGUUGGAGAGGAUGAUCAGCCACACUGGGACUGAGACACGGCCCAGACUCCUACGGGAAGCAGCAGUGGGGAAUCUUAGACAAUGGGGGCAACCCUGAUCUAGCCAUGCCGCGUGAGUGAUGAAGGCCUUAGGGUUGUAAAGCUCUUUCAGCUGGGAAGAUAAUGACGGUACCAGCAGAAGAAGCCCCGGCUAACUCCGUG
rnacentral:rRNA from 1 species